rnacentral:rRNA from 1 species
CGAGCGGCGGACGGGUGAGUAAUGCCUAGGAAAUUGCCCUGAUGUGGGGGAUAACCGUUGGAAACGAUGGCUAAUACCGCAUGAUGCCUACGGGCCAAAGAGGGGGACCUUCGGGCCUCUCGCGUCAGGAUAUGCCUAGGUGGGAUUAGCUAGUUGGUGAGGUAAGGGCUCACCAAGGCGACGAUCCCUAGCUGGUCUGAGAGGAUGAUCAGCCACACUGGAACUGAGACACGGUCCAGAGUCCUACGGGAGGCAGCAGUGGGGAAUAUUGCACAAUGGGCGCAAGCCUGAUGCAGCCAUGCCGCGUGUGUGAAGAAGGCCUUCGGGUUGUAAAGCACUUUCAGUCGUGAGGAAGGUAGUGUAGUUAAUAGCUGCAUUAUUUGACGUUAGCGACAGAAGAAGCACCGGCUAACUCCGUGCCAGCAGCCGCGGUAAUACGGAGGGUGCGAGCGUUAAUCGGAAUUACUGGGCGUAAAGCGCAUGCAGGUGGUUUGUUAAGUCAGAUGUGAAAGCCCGGGGCUCAACCUCGGAAUAGCAUUUGAAACUGGCAGACUAGAGUACUGUAGAGGGGGGUAGAAUUUCAGGUGUAGCGGUGAAAUGCGUAGAGAUCUGAAGGAAUACCGGUGGCGAAGGCGGCCCCCUGGACAGAUACUGACACUCAGAUGCGAAAGCGUGGGGAGCAAACAGGAUUAGAUACCCUGGUAGUCCACGCCGUAAACGAUGUCUACUUGGAGGUUGUGGCCUUGAGCCGUGGCUUUCGGAGCUAACGCGUUAAGUAGACCGCCUGGGGAGUACGGUCGCAAGAUUAAAACUCAAAUGAAUUGACNGGGGGCCCGCACAAGCGGUGGAGCAUGUGGUUUAAUUCGAUGCAACGCGAAGAACCUUUACCUACUCUUGACAUCCAGAGAACUUUCCAGAGAUGGAUUGGUGCCUUCGGGAACUCUGAGACAGGUGCUGCAUGGCUGUCGUCAGCUCGUGUUGUGAAAUGUUGGGUUAAGUCCCGCAACGAGCGCAACCCUUAUCCUUGUUUUGCCAGCGAGUAAUGUCGGGAACUCCAGGGAGACUGCCGGUGAUAAACCGGAGGAAGGUGGGGACGACGUCAAGUCAUCAUGGCCCUUACGAGUAGGGCUACACACGUGCUACAAUGGCGCAUACAGAGGGCGGCCAACUUGCGAAAGUGAGCGAAUCCCAAAAAGUGCGUCGUAGUCCGGAUUGGAGUCUGCAACUCGACUCCAUGAAGUCGGAAUCGCUAGU